UUUCCCAUUUGACUACCGCAUUUUCUCCUAUAAUAUAUUUCAGUGGCUAUGCUAAUGAAAUAGAUUAAAGAUGCCAUGAUCUGAAGUGGGAGGAUUUUUCAGUGUCCUGUUUCUAUGUGAAAUGACUGAACAGAAAAUA
rnacentral:snoRNA from 1 species